GUCUUUUUGAAUUAUAUAUAUAAAGUCUAACCUGCCCAUUGAACAUUUUUAAAGGCUGCGGUAUUUUGACCGUACAAAGGUAGCAUAGUCAUUAGUUUCUUAAUUGGGAACUUGUAUGAAUGGUUGAAUGAAAAAUUAACUUUUUUUAUAAAAAUAUUGAAUUUUACUUUUUAAUUAAAAGGUUAAAAUACACUUAUAAGACGAGAAGACCCUAUAGAGUUUUAUAAUUUACUUUUUAUUGAUAAAAAAGAUUAUUUAUAUUAUUAUAAUAUUAAUUAUUUUAUUGGGGUGAUAGUAAAAUUUAAUUAACUUUUAUUAAUAUUAAACAUUAAUAUAUGAAAUGCUGAUCCAGUAAUAUUGAUUAAAAAUUUAAAUUACCUUAGGGAUAACAGCGUAAUUUUUUUUUAAGUUCAUAUUAAUAAAAAAUUUUGCGACCUCGAUGUUGGAUUAAGAUUUAAUUUUAGGUGCAGCAGUUUAAAAUUUAAGUCUGUUCGACUUUUAAAUUCUU
rnacentral:rRNA from 1 species